GGUGUAGGCGGCUUGGCAAGUCGGGUGUGAAAUCCCAGGGCUCAACCCUGGAACUGCAUUCGAAACUGCCUCGCUGGAGUCCCGGAGAGGAUGGCGGAAUUCCCGGUGUAGAGGUGAAAUUCGUAGAUAUCGGGAGGAACACCAGCGGCGAAGGCGGCCAUCUGGACGGUGACUGACGCUUAGACCCGAAAGCGUGGGUAGCGAACAGGAUUAGAUGCCCUGGUAGUCC
rnacentral:rRNA from 1 species